CGUUCCGUAUUACUGAACGGGUUUUAUUAUCGCCAAGGCAGAAAUUUGUCCGAAGUCGAGUUUUCGAAGUUUGGACAAAACUUUCCCGAGGACGUACGAAAGAAACGGUUUUAAAAAGCUUGUAAUGUGUAAAUAAUUUUGAUUGGAAGCAAGACAGUGAUUGUAUCUGUUACAGCGUGCCAUUAAACUACGAAUGAUGGAUAGCGAAUUGAUGCAUGCAGACUUUUGCAUUGAUACUGAAGAAUUCUUUGGAAGUGAACGGAAACAGUUGACAACUAACAGAAAGUGUAGACCUCCACUUCAAAUUCGUAAAACUGUAUCAUACGAUGUGCAGACAUGCGAGAUUCCACUGUUUUUCCGUCGCCAAGAGAGCACUGAAGACCACAAAGUUCCAACAUUGAACAACCUUCAACGUGUCUCGUCAUUUGACGACUUGUCUGAUGACAGCUUGGGUAAGAUACAUAACCUUUUG